UAACGCGAAGAACCUUACCAGGUCUUGACAUCUUUUGCUAACCUAAGAGAUUAAGCGUUCCCUUCGGGGACGGAAUGACAGGUGGUGCAUGGUUGUCGUCAGCUCGUGUCGUGAGAUGUUGGGUUAAGUCCCGCAACGAGCGCAACCCUUAUUGUCAGUUGCCAGCAUUUAGUUGGGCACUCUGGCGAGACUGCCGGUGACAAACCGGAGGAAGGUGGGGAUGACGUCAAAUCAUCAUGCCCCUUAUGACCUGGGCUACACACGUGCUACAAUGGACGGUACAACGAGUCGCGAAACCGCGAGGUCAAGCUAAUCUCUUAAAGCCGUUCUCAGUUCGGAUUGUAGGCUGCAACUCGCCUACAUGAAGUUGGAAUCGCUAGUAAUCGUGGAUCAGC
rnacentral:rRNA from 1 species